UCAGUCGACUCCUACGGGGAGGCAGCAGUGGGGAAUAUUGCACAAUGGGGGAAACCCUGAUGCAGCCAUGCCGCGUGUGUGAAGAAGGCCUUCGGGUUGUAAAGCACUUUCAGUAGGGAGGAAGGUAGUGUAGUUAACACCUGCAUUAUUUGACGUUACCUACAGAAGAAGCACCGGCUAACUCCGUGCCAGCAGCCGCGGUAAUACGGGAGGGUGCGAGCGUUAAUCGGAAUUACUGGGCGUAAAGCGCAUGCAGGCGGCCUGUUAAGUCAGAUGUGAAAGCCCGGGGCUUAACCUCGGAAUUGCAUUUGUAAACUGGCAGGCUAGAGUCUUGUAGAGGGGGGUAGGAAUUUCAGGUGUAGCGGUGAAAUGCGUAGAGAUCUGAAGGAAUACCAGUGGCGAAGGCGGCCCCCUGGACAAAGACUGACGCUCAGAUGCGAAAGCGUGGGGAGCAAACAGGAUUAGAUACCCUGGUAG
rnacentral:rRNA from 1 species